UUGAAUCUACAUUGAGCUGAGUAAUGAUGCUGUGGAUUUACACUGAAAAGGUGAUGUAGAAAUUGAAGUUAAUACUGAAAUAGUAUUUUCUUGUAAUCUUUGUUUACAACUUGGAAAAAUAAUUUUUUCCACACACAGUCCCACCCUAAACCCAAUGCUACUGGUUGAAUCAAAGUUGCUGUUUUGGCCUGGUCAUCAAAUCAGGAUGGACAAGCUUCAGAUGAUCUCUGCAUAUUAAGCUGGAAUUCAAAUCUACCGCAUGUCCCUCUGCAGGAUGACGCUGCACAACCAAGGGCUGUAGCAUGAGGGAUAUAAUAAAAGACCCGUGAAAAGCCGGGGUGAGGAAUUGUCUGCCGUCUGAAUGCAGAGAAGAAGGCAUCUGAGGAGAAAGUCCCGGAGAAGAAAAAUGAGAAAAUGGAGGACUUUAUAUAGGAGUCUUCGUAGGGAAUUUCCAGACCUCAUGAUGAUUCAAGACAUUGGAAUCCAC